rnacentral:lncRNA from 1 species
AACAAAGGCAAUUCGUUCUGUAAAAAUACUCUAGAUUCUUUCUGAGGACUGGGCACUACACUGCUCAUAGUGGGCACCUAAAGUCAGCAUUCAGCCAACUCAGCGGGCUUUAAGAUGGAGACUCUUAAACCUCCUGCAUCAAAAAGACAUAAGGGAAUGUCCCUGAGAAGAGCCUGUGUCUCCUUUGAAGAGAGAGAGAGAGAUUGAUUCUGCCUCCUUGCAAUUCGAACCGGCAUUUUCCAGAACACUCCAAUUUGAAUCACAGUGGAGGGUCAUGGGAGGGAUUUGGCACAGGGGAGUCUUGGGUCUUUGGUUUUCCACAUUGAUCAAUGGGAUUGAUUUUUUCUGUUUUUGUUUUUGUUUUAAAAGAAGAGAAUUAGUUCCUUUUUCUGUCUCCAGGAUUGAAAACAUGAAGGCAAAGAAGAGAAACUCACAAUAUGUCAUUAACUUUGGGUUAUCAAUAUUAGUGGAAAGAAUCAAUGGUGCAAAGAAUCCUAAAGGACUAGAUAAUCCGCAUAUUCGACUUCCUGAUUAUGUGUUACUGACACUAACAUUUCAGAGUGUGGAGACCCUGCCCCAUCUGGGGAGAGGGAGAGACAAAGACCCCCUGCUUCUGGUACUUGAUUCACACAUAAUGCCCUCCAUUUACUGCUUUCAAGAAAUAACCUGUUUCUAAUCUUAAAUUUCAAUCUACUGAUCACAAAAUCAUAGAGAUCUUAGCCUUGAAAGAGACUUCAUGAGACCAUGUGACCAACUUUCUGACGCAGGAUUAGAACAUCCGACAUUAAAAUGUCUCAGUGCAGCAGAAUUUCCCAGCGACUUCGGUGGCGGGAGAGCAGCACCUCUCAGGCACAGCUGUGCGCAUCCCUCGGGCCCCACCGACCGCACCAUCUGACCGCGGGAAACGAAAUCUGAGCUCAGGAAUUUGAACUGCCCCACGCACGUUCGUUCCCGGAUAAAUCUCCUAGAGGACCGUGAUUUUUCCACUUAGAGAUUAUUUAGGGAGAUGUCCUGGAUGGGACAAGUAGACAAAUGGCGGCCCGAGGAAAAUGCAGGAAACUCUACAUUGUAGACGCUUAAGCACCAACUGUCUGGGCCCCGGGGCAGGGAACGGGAGACAUUAUCCACCGGAAACAUCACACCCCCGGGGCUCCUGGCAUUUUCUACAUCAGUGAAUGUGCCAGCGAAGAAGAGUGUGGGGAAAUUUUCUGAACAUAGAAUUCAUAUUCCUGAAACGUUAAGUCGUGAAGUGGGUGCUUCAGCUGUCCCCCAGCUUUAGGAUUUUAACCCAGCUUUGGUUUUGAUCACCGAGAGUUAUUCCUUAUAAUCAAAUCAGCAAAAGCGUUCAAUUACCUAUUACUGGUUGAGAAAGAUUCCGUUCCCCCAGCUCAUUGUAUCGGUUCUUGGACCCAAGAUGUUAAUUAUCGGCCAGGCAUUCACAGGGGGUUAAUAUGGCCCCCCUCGACACCUUGCCUCGUACCAGAGACACCAAAAGCUGCCGCUGAGGGAUAAUAGAGAAUGGGAAAAGCUGGUCAUGAAAAACCUCUUUUAUUCUUACUUGCAAGCUACCCUUUUGACAUUCUUUUUUUAACACUAAAUGGAGAUUACUGAAUUGAUAACUUUUGGGUUUUCUCUGUCACACUGGGGUUUUUUUCCCCCCGUUUGUUUGUAAGGUUUUUUUGGUUUUGGUUUUGGUUUUGGGGGGAGGGGAAGGGGGAAGUGGAUAGGGAGAUGGAAGAGUGUUCUGUUACUGGUUUUAUCAAAUCCUGUUAGGUCUUGUUCUUCAGUGUAAUGUAGAAUGGAGAAGUUGCAUAAGUACAUGAUUGACAAACAAGGUCUCUUAGAAGAGAGUUAAGGAGUAGGAAAUAUAAUGUGUCCUGGAGAAAAAGAAAGAGAAAACCCUUAGUAUGACACACUGGCCUUUAAAUAGAGGACACAUGAAUAUGCAAAGGAGAGGCACGUGUGAAAUAAGGUGUGCCUUGCUGAGCCCUCCCGCCCCCACCCCCCAUGUAUCAAGAACUUUACUUACAUUAUCUCAUCUAAUUCUACCCACAACCCAAGAGGAAGGGCGAUACUUUUAAUUCGGGUUUUUACAGACAAGAAAUUUGUAUCUCAGAGGCCCAAAGUAAAUUGCCUGAGGGCAUAUAGCUACUUAGGACAGAAUUAGAAUUGAUUAAAGAGUCAAAAAUUCUUUGAGAAUUAAUGUUUUAAACUCUCGAUUAGUUACCAAGGGAAUCUGAGAAAUUAAUUAACUUUUGGGGGGAUCUUUAGAUUAGUGGGGAAAUUAUGUUAAGCCCAAAGAAAGACAAGCCCGUGAAUUUUCUUGUUAUCUAUGAAGUGGUUUGGUGAAAGGUGUGACAAUUUGAGAAAACUGAAAAGUGCUGAAAUUCCUUUAAUAAGGUUCUGUUUAAACUGAUAGAGCUACCAGAUAUAAUUAGGCAGAUAUCCAUUUUCUUCUGGAAGCUUCUAUUAUUUGAGAAGAAAACUGAAAAGCUUUAGACUGUUUCAAAUUAAGGACAAUUUGAAUUUUAGUUGGAAAGCGGAUAAACUAUCUGUAUGAUUGAGUUUAAAAGGCAUGGAAAGACUAUUACGAAGUAUUGAUCCCACUCAGUGAGAGCAAGCACAGCUUUCAAAUGAUACAGAUCUGGCUAUGAAUUUGAAUGGUGACUGUGCCUAGCUGUGUGACCAAGGGCAACUUUCUUAACCUCUCUGGGCCUCUGAGUCCUCGUCUUUAAAAUGAGACAAAUAAGCCCUUGCAAGACGCUUGUGAUGAUAAAAUAAAAGAGUAUGGGUGAAAGUCCUUAACAGAAUGCCUGAUAUGUAGCAGAUACUCAACAGAGUUAGCAAUGUUUCAUUUAAUUAAAGCAUUUGAGAGCAGGAUAGGGAGCACCACUAACUUCAGCUCUUCAACAAUUUUGCCUGGGGCUGGCUCUGGGGAAUAGACUUGGAUUCUCACGAGUAUGUGAAUCUUCAGUUACUUCCUUGAAAGGACAGACAGUUAUAAAAGCAAGCAGUGAAGUCUGGGAAGGUGGAGGAGAAUGGUUAUGGAAAGUUAUCCCCACAUCAUAAGUCUUCCUGAUCUUGAGAUCAAACAACAACACUUUCAGAAACAGCAAGAAAUUAAGGCUGAAGCAAAAUACCCCCUGUAUAAUUUUUAAGUCAGUUAAUAAUGAAGGUGUAAAUAAAACAGAAAUGUCUCUGUUCUUACUUAAAUCUUGAACAAAUAAGGGAUUUUUUUCUUUAGUGUUUUUUAAUAGUUUAAUCAUUUUUUAAGACACAAUUUUUGCCUAGUUACUGUUUACUAACUGCCCUGCCAAAAAUUAGUUAUUACUUCAGGACUUAUGUUUGAAUAGAACUGCGAAAUCCUGCUUUAAAAAGUACUAUGAAACAAUUCAUCAAAAUGUUUUCCUCUGAUAUUUUUUACCAGGUAAAGGCAAGAUUACUUCUGGAGAUUUUCUUUGAAAAUAAUGAUUUUUUUUUCCUGAUUAUGAAAGUAAUACACGUUCAUUAUGGACAAUUUAGUAUAAAAUGAGAGAACAAGCUAUAAAGGAGCAAACGAGAACACCCUUAUUCUCACCAGUAAGAGUUAACCACUUUUAAUAUUUUGAUGAUUUCUUUCAGUCUUUUUACCCUUUAUUUUUUUAGCCUUGGUACGAACCUAUGGAGUAUAAAAUUGUGCAUUCUUGUUUUUAUAUUUAUUUUCUCCCAUGUAACUAAAAAGGAUCUGUAACAUUUUUAGUGACUGUCUAAUUUUAUAUCAUACCAAUAUGAUAUAUUAGUAUCAUUUUUUAAGAAACAAUAGAGAAUUCUCUAUUGUUGAGUGUCUGUGAGUCCCAGUUUUUGCUAUUGUAAAUUAUGCUAAACAAAAAUCUGUGUGCAUAAAUCUCUGAGUUUAAGAUUAUUUCGUUAAGAUAGACUUCUAUAACAAGAAUUACUAGGUUCAUAUAAUACUUCUAAUGCUUUUGAAAUAUAUUGUCGUAUUGAUUUUAGCAGUUUUCAGUCCAAGCAGCAAUAGAUGAAGAGAGCUGUUCUCUCCUAAUGCCUCUAGUCAUAGUGACUGAUACCACAGCC